rnacentral:rRNA from 1 species
GAUGAACGCUGGCGGCGUGCCUAAUACAUGCAAGUCGAGCGAACAGAUGAGGAGCUUGCUCCUCUGACGUUAGCGGCGGACGGGUGAGUAACACGUGGAUAACCUACCUAUAAGACUGGGAUAACUACGGGAAACCGGAGCUAAUACCGGAUAAUAUAUUGAACCGUAUGGUUCAAUAGUGAAAGACGGUUUUGCUGUCACUUAUAGAUGGAUCCGCGCCGCAUUAGCUAGUUGUUAAGGUAACGGCUUACCAAGGCAACGAUGCGUAGCCGACCUGAGAGGGGGAUCGGCCACACUGGAACUGAGACACGGUCCAGACUCCUACGAGAGGCAGCAGUAGGGAAUCUUCCGCAAUGGGCGAAAGCCUGACGGAGCAACGCCGCGUGAGUGAUGAAGGUCUUCGGAUCGUAAAACUCUGUUAUUAGGGAAGAACAAAUGUGUAAUUAACUAUGCACUUCUUGACGGUACCUAAUCAGAAAGCCACGGCUAACUACGUG